rnacentral:rRNA from 1 species
CCUACGGGGGGCUGCAGUGGGGAAUAUUGCACAAUGGGCGCAAGCCUGAUGCAGCCAUGCCGCGUGUGUGAAGAAGGCCUUCGGGUUGUAAAGCACUUUCAGCGGGGAGGAAGGCGUUAAGGUUAAUAACCUUGUCGAUUGACGUUACCCGCAGAAGAAGCACCGGCUAACUCCGUGCCAGCAGCCGCGGUAAUACGGAGGGUGCAAGCGUUAAUUGGAAUUACUGGGCGUAAAGCGCACGCAGGCGGUCUGUCAAGUCGGAUGUGAAAUCCCCGGGCUCAACCUGGGAACUGCAUUCGAAACUGGCAGGCUAGAGUCUUGUAGAGGGGGGUAGAAUUCCAGGUGUAGCGGUGAAAUGCGUAGAGAUCUGGAGGAAUACCGGUGGCGAAGGCGGCCCCCUGGACAAAGACUGACGCUCAGGUGCGAAAGCGUGGGGAGCAAACAGGAUUAGAUACCCUAGUAGUC